CUUGAUCGUUAAAGUUUCACAUAGGUGCAUCCAAAGUUUCCUUCUUUAAAUUUCACCUUUGUUCUAAAAUGUGAAGGCCGAUCAAUUGUUCUUCGCCAAUCCCCAAUCUAAAAACUCAGGAGGUCCUCAAGCUUCUUUUAACAGCCCAACCAAAACGUGGUCUUCGUUCUUCUCAGCUUCCCGACAAGAGUGCAUGCUUUAGUGCACGGUGCUUCAUCAUGUUCUUUCGGCCCUACAUGUGAAAUGCCAGCUUGGGAUGACUUCGUUGCUCCGGCCACCGACGACCAAAAGGAUCAACCCAGCUACUUACUAUUUCGAGGCCAGAUGAUCUGUUUGAACAUCGUCAACCACAAAGGGAAUCAAACCACAGGCCACAGAUGGAUGGAUGAUGGCUUCGACCCUCCUCCAUCUUCAUCGACGAAAAGGUGAAGAAAAGAGGAGCGAAGUGGAGUGGAUCGACUCACAGCGAGAUGUGCAUCCCGUGUUGACACGGUCAACGCGGUUGACUUCA